rnacentral:snoRNA from 1 species
UCGCAUGAUGAAUUUCCUGAUAGGGACAUCCGAUGCAAAACGCAUAUGAUGUGAACAGGUCAAGAGAUUUUAGUAGAUGCUUCUUGUUUAUCUGAAG